AUUGAACGCUGGCGGCAGGCCUAACACAUGCAAGUCGAACGAGUGUCGGGCACGUGAGUAUUGUCUGGGAAACUGCCCCAUGGGGGGGGGUAACUACUGGAAAAGGUAGCUCAUACCGCAUACCAUCUGAUGUGCCCAGAUGUGGUUAGCGAGUAGGUGGGGUAACGGCUCACGUAGGCGACGCUCCCUAGCUGGUCUGAGAGGAUGACCCGCAACACUGGAACUGAGACACGGUCCAGACUCCUACGGGAGGCAGCAGUGGGGAAUAUUGCACAAUGGGCGCAAGCCUGAUGCAGCCAUGCCGCGUGUAUGAAGAAGGCCUUCGGGUUGUAAAGUACUUUCAGCGAGGAGGCGUUACUCGCAGAAGAAGCACCGGCUAACUCCGUGCCAGCAGCCGCGGUAAUAC
rnacentral:rRNA from 1 species